rnacentral:sRNA from 1 species
GAAACGGACGCCGUUCUCUCCCGCGGAAUUCAGGUUUACGGCCCUGCGGGUUCUCAGAGAAUUUCUAGAAUUUGGAAUCGAGUGCAUUUUCUGACAUUUGAGUACAGGACCCAGGGGUUCUUGGAGAAGAACCUGGUCCCAGAGGAGCUUGACUGACCAUAAAAAUGAGUACUGCAGAUGCACUUGAUGAUGAAAACACAUUUAAAAUAUUAGUUGCAACAGAUAUUCAUCUUGGAUUUAUGGAGAAAGAUCCAGUCAGAGGAAAUGAUACGUUUGUAACACUCGAUGAAAUUUUAAGACUUGCCCAGGAAAAUGAAGUGGAUUUUAUUUUGUUAGGUGGUGAUCUUUUUCAUGAAAAUAAGCCCUCAAGGAAAACAUUACAUACCUGCCUCGAGUUAUUAAGAAAAUAUUGUAUGGGUGAUCGGCCUGUCCAGUUUGAAAUUCUCAGUGAUCAGUCAGUCAACUUUGGUUUUAGUAAGCAGAUGCACUUUGUGCCUUGGACAUUUUAAGUUGUGCUGGAUUUGUAAAUCACUUUGGACGUUCAAUGUCUGUGGAGAAGAUAGACAUUAGUCCGGUUUUGCUUCAAAAAGGAGG